UCCUUUGUUCUUGGGUAUAAUUAUUUUUCCUUAUAUGAAAUUCCAUUUUUCAGCUUACUUGUUACUAGAUUAUUAAGAUUCUUGUGAAGAUUGAAUGCAAAAUAAAUGAUUUUAAUGAUAUGAUGAUAUGAAUGUUUUUUAGCUAUGGAUUUAAGGUUAAGAUAAGGGUAAUAUGCAAGCAUGACCUAGUUAGGGUAGGAUUUUUAUAAUAGGCUAGUUCUAGGUUAAGACUACCUAAUCCCCUCACUUGUAGGUUCUAGAAUUUUUGUAAGAUGGUA
rnacentral:lncRNA from 1 species